UAGAUUUUCCCACAAUUGCUUUAGGUCUUAUGAAACUUAUCCAUACUUCUCGUUAUUCCAAAGCUUUGCCCUAUGGUAUGCUUUUAACAAAAAAUUUCAAACACUUCAAUGUCUCUCUUGAGGAUGAAGCUGUCAUCAAACCUCGUCCCACCGACACAAUCAAUAUUCAAACUUUCAAGCAUAUGAAAAUCUUUAAAACUCAAGGACAAUGGGUAGCUUACACUAAAGGGUUCGACCCUGCCUCGGGUCCUUCUACAUUACCAUUUGAGGAUGAAGAAGAAGC
rnacentral:lncRNA from 1 species